GAUAUAUCCAGAAGACUAAACCUGAAUACAAAAUCUUGUUCCUGAUCAAUAUUCUGAUAAAGUGAUUGAUGGAUUGAUAACCAGCAUCAUCAGAUUGAUCCAAGUCCCUGUUGGAGUGAGUCAGACAUUUCCAUAGAGAACCACUUUGCAUCAGCAGCACCAUGCUCCAGUGCUCUGGGAGACUUUAUAGUCCUGACACUUGAACACUGGAUGACUGACAGCUGUCCUUCAUCACAACAGAAGACACACAAAUCCUCCUCAUCAACAACAUGACUCUGAUCUGCGUCCUCAUCUGGACUCUCCUCUGCUGCUGCUUCACAGAGUCCAGAGGACAGGUCACAGUGACUCAGUCUGGAGCAGUGAGCUCUGCUCUAGGAGGCUCCGUCACCAUCAGCUGUAAGACCAGUCAGGAUGUUUAUGGCUCUAGCUAUUUACACUGGUACCAACAGAAAGAUGGAGGAGUUCCUAAACUGCUCAUUUACUACACUAGCAGCAGAGCAUCAGGGAUUCCAGAUCGUUUUACAGGCAGUGGAUCAAACUCUGACUUCACUCUGACCAUCAGUGGAGUCCAGACUGAAGAUGCAGCAGUUUAUUACUGUCAGAGUUUUCAUAGCAUCAACAGUCAGUGGUUGUUCACACAGUAUGCUGAGCACUGUGGCAAUGGCAGUUCGGACCAACCACCUGCUCCCGCUGCCAACCCAUUCCUACCCACCAGGAUUCGUCUACACCCCCGUCCUCUGUCUACAUCUCUGGAAAUCUCCUGGAAAAUCUCCACCACCUCCCAACCUCCGUCUAAGCCUCCACCGCCGUCACAGCCGCGACCGUCUGACACAGCCCUACAGAAACCCCCCUGUCUCGUCUGGUUCUCUGCCUCCCAGCUUCCUAGUUGUCCAUCGUCAGUCAGUCUCAGUUAUGAGCAGUCUCAGUCUUAG